rnacentral:rRNA from 1 species
CAAGCGGUGGAGCAUGUGGUUUAAUUCGAUGCAACGCGAAGAACCUUACCUGGUCUUGACAUCCACGGAAGUUUUCAGAGAUGAGAAUGUGCCUUCGGGAACCGUGAGACAGGUGCUGCAUGGCUGUCGUCAGCUCGUGUUGUGAAAUGUUGGGUUAAGUCCCGCAACGAGCGCAACCCUUAUCCUUUGUUGCCAGCGGUCCGGCCGGGAACUCAAAGGAGACUGCCAGUGAUAAACUGGAGGAAGGUGGGGAUGACGUCAAGUCAUCAUGGCCCUUACGACCAGGGCUACACACGUGCUACAAUGGCGCAUACAAAGAGAAGCGACCUCGCGAGAGCAAGCGGACCUCAUAAAGUGCGUCAUAGUCCGGAUUGGAGUCUGCAACUCGACUCCAUGAAGUCGGAAUCGCUAGUAAUCGUGGAUCAGAAUGCCACGGUGAAUACGUUCCCGGGCCUUGUACACACC